CUGUGUGGGGAAGCUGAGAGCCAGAGCCACGCUCAGAGGAUUCCUAAGAAACUUACAGAAACACAUCAACCAGAACCAGAACCCAGCUGUGUGUCCUUUAAGAGCAACAGGUCAAACCAUCGUUUCAUUGACUUCAAAUCUUCAGGACCUGCAUCCUCAGAGAGAGUGGACCAGCAGAACUCAGAGGUUCCCAGAGGU